rnacentral:rRNA from 1 species
UACGGGGGGGGCAAGCGUUGUUCGGAUUUACUGGGCGUAAAGGGCGCGUAGGCGGCCACCGCAAGUCGACUGUGAAAUCUCCGGGCUUAACCCGGAAAGGUCAGCCGAUACUGCGGGGCUAGAGUGCAGAAGGGGCAACUGGAAUUCUCGGUGUAGCGGUGAAAUGCGUAGAUAUCGAGAGGAACACCUGCGGCGAAGGCGGGUUGCUGGGCUGACACUGACGCUGAUGCGCGAAAGCUAGGGGAGCGAACGGG